UACGUAGGCGGUUAAAUAAGUCAGGUGUAAAAGGCAUUGGCUCAACCAAUGUAAGCACUUGAAACUGUUUGACUUGAGUAUAGGAGAGGUAAGUGGAAUUCCUAGUGUAGCGGUGAAAUGCGUAGAUAUUAGGAGGAACACCAGUGGCGAAGGCGACUUACUGGACUAUUACUGACGCUAAGGUACGAAAGCGUGGGGAGCAAACA
rnacentral:rRNA from 1 species